GAUGAACGCUGGCGGCGUGCCUAAUACAUGCAAGUCGAGCGAACGGACGAGAAGCUUGCUUUUCUGAUGUUAGCGGCGGACGGGUGAGUAACACGUGGAUAACCUACCUAUAAGAGUGGGAUAACUUCGGGAAACCGGAGCUAAUACCGGAUAAUAUUGUGAACCGCAUGGUUCAAAAGUGAAAGACGGUCUUGCUGUCACUUAUAGAUGGAUCCGCGCUGCAUUAGGUAGUUGGUAAGGUAACGGCUUACCAAGGCAACGAUGCAUAGCCGACCUGAGAGGAUGAUCGGCCACACUGGAACUGAGACACGGUCCAGACUCCUACGGGAGGCAGCAGUAGGGAAUCUUCCGCAAUGGGCGAAAGCCUGACGCAGCAAUGCCGCGUGAGUGAAGAAGGUCUUCGGAUCGUAAAGCUCUGUUAUUAGGGAAGAACAUAUGUGUAAGUAACUGUGCACAUCUUGACGGUACCUAAUCAGAAAGCCCCGGCUAACUACGUG
rnacentral:rRNA from 1 species